GAGCGCUUGGGUAAUUUAAUUUAGCAAUGAGCGAGCUUGCUUAAUUAUUAAACAAUGCAGUUGGAUCAUAAUUUUUAUACGCAUAUAAUUAUGUCGAUUAUAUGUUGUAAGAGCAUAUAUAAAUGUUUUAUGAUAAUAUAUCAUGUUUAUGAAAGAAAAUAUUUAUGCAUUGCAAAUUAUUUUUAGUUGAAAGGUUCAACAGAAGUCAAGCAAAU
rnacentral:lncRNA from 1 species